rnacentral:misc_RNA from 1 species
ACGAAUAACUAUGGCGUUGGUUGUAGCUGGCUCCUCGGAGCAAUGUGCACGCCCGCCAUUUUUUAUCUUUCCACCUGUGCACCGACUGUAGGUCUGGAUACCUCUCGCCUCCGGGCGGAUGCGAGGGUUGCUCGUAAGGGCUUCCCUUGAACUUCCAGGCUCUACGUCUUUUUACACACCCCAAUAGUAUGAUGCAGAAUGUAGUCAAUGGGCUUCUCAAGCCUAUAAAACACUAUA